rnacentral:rRNA from 1 species
UACGUAGGGUGCAAGCGUUAAUCGGAAUUACUGGGCGUAAAGCGUGCGCAGGCGGUUUUGUAAGUCAGAUGUGAAAUCCCCGGGCUUAACCUGGGAACUGCGUUUGAAAACUACAAGGCUAGAGUGUGGCAGAGGGGGGUGGAAUUCCGCGUGUAGCAGUGAAAUGCGUAGAUAUGCGGAGGAACACCGAUGGCGAAGGCAAUCCCCUGGACCUGUACUGACGCUCAUGCACGAA